UAGGGAAUCUUCGGCAAUGGACGGAAGUCUGACCGAGCAACGUCGCGUGAGUGAAGAAGGUUUUCGGAUCGUAAAGCUCUGUUGUAAGAGAAGAACGAGUGUGAGAGUGGAAAGUUCACACUGUGACGGUAUCUUACCAGAAAGGGACGGCUAACUACGUGCCAGCAGCCGCGGUAAUACGUAGGUCCCGAGCGUUGUCCGGAUUUAUUGGGCGUAAAGCGAGCGCAGGCGGUUAGAUAAGUCUGAAGUUAAAGGCUGUGGCUUAACCAUAGUACGCUUUGGAAACUGUUUAACUUGAGUGCAAGAGGGGAGAGUGGAAUUCCAUGUGUAGCGGUGAAAUGCGUAGAUAUAUGGAGGAACACCGGUGGCGAAAGCGGCUCUCUGGCUUGUAACUGACGCUGAGGCUCGAAAGCGUGGGGAGCAAACAGGAUUAGAUACCCUGGUAGUCCACGCCGUAACGAUGAGUGCUAGGUGUUAGACCCUUUCCGGGGUUUAGUGCCGCAGCUAACGCAUUAAGCACUCCGCCUGGGGAGUACGACCGCAAGGUU
rnacentral:rRNA from 1 species